rnacentral:rRNA from 1 species
UCGAUUUGGAGUUUGUUGCCUAGAGUGAUGGGCUCCGAAGCUAACGCGAUAAAUCGACCGCCUGGGGAGUACGGCCGCAAGGUUAAAACUCAAAUGAAUUGACGGGGGCCCGCACAAGCGGUGGAGCAUGUGGUUUAAUUCGAUGCAACGCGAAGAACCUUACCUGGUCUUGACAUCCACAGAAUCUUGCAGAGAUGCGGGAGUGCCUUCGGGAACUGUGAGACAGGUGCUGCAUGGCUGUCGUCAGCUCGUGUUGUGAAAUGUUGGGUUAAGUCCCGCAACGAGCGCAACCCUUAUCCUUUGUUGCCAUCGGUUAGGCCGGGAACUCAAAGGAGACUGCCGUUGAUAAAGCGGAGGAAGGUGGGGACGACGUCAAGUCAUCAUGGCCCUUACGACCAGGGCUACACACGUGCUACAAUGGCGUAUACAAAGGGAGGCGACCUCGCGAGACCAAGCGGACCUCAUAAAGUACGUCUAAGUCCGGAUUGGAGUCUGCAACUCGACUCCAUGAAGUCGGAAUCGCUAGUAAUCGUGAAUCAGAAUGUCACGGUGAAUACGUUCCCGGGCCU